CAGCCCGCAGCUCUAUCCCAUUUUCUGUGUCUGGAGGGAAGGACGCGGACUCUCUCGGAGUUGUGCUGAAGACAACAGACACCUCCAUGACAACCCAAAGUAUCACAGAGGAAAUGAAAAGCUGUGGACUCAUUCAAAGUUAAUUAAGAUUAGGUAUGACCAUGGAAGACUUGUGUAUGACCAUGGAAGACUUCUAGAGAAUCUUGACUGGUGAUGUGGAAAAAGAGACCCAGAAGAACAAAAAAACAGGUGACUGUAAUGCUGGUCCCCCUGUGCAGGAACAGCUCAGGAGACUGUCGGAGACAUGAGUGUCCUUGUAGAAGCCAGCAGUCUUGUUGGCUGUCAGGUCCUCAGGACUUAGUAUUAUUACAUGUCAUCCUUUCAUGUGGCAUGAAUGAGGAUUUAUAAAGCCCUAUUACGGUUUGGUUAUGCAGUCCAAACAGACUUACAAAGAUUUACAGAUUAAUUUUACUGCUCAAGCAUAGAGCAGAGACUCCUCAUUAGCUAAUUUGUGCAUACUACACUUUCCGUACACGUGUUACUGCAAAAAUGUCCCUACAGUGUUACCAGAGCUGGGGCAGGAAGUAAGGGUGGAAUUCCUGAGCUCACUGACACUGAUGCUGAAGGAAGCAGGAGGUGGGCGGAGCUGGCAGUGGUGAGAGCCACGUGGAUACAUGGGAUGGUGGAGGAGUCAGGAAAAGUUAGUAGCUAGCUGAGACUGUCCUAGCAAAAGACCAACAGCUUUAUUUUCUUCAAAAUUUAAUAAUAAACUGUAGAAAUAAACUAUUUUGAAAGAGUAGUUCAUAGAUUCCAUUGAGAAUGUAAUUAAUUGACCUGUUUAGUAUUUUUUAUUGAAAAAAUAAAUUGAGAUUCUUUUUUUUUUUUUAAAGCUUGUUUUCUCCUUUGGGGGGGGGGGGGCCUGUUUCGAGACAGGGUUUCUCUGUGUAGCCCUGGCUGUCCUGGAACUCACUCUGUAGACCAGGCUGGCCUCAAACUCAGAAAUCCACCUGCUUCUGCCUCCCGAGUUCUGGGAUUAAAGGCGUGCGCCACCACGCCGGGCUUGUUUUCUCCCUUUUUAAACAUUCUUUCAGGGGCCAGUGCGCAUGUGGGUGAAGCUGAAAGGACAGCUGUGGGAGGGUUGCUUCUCUCCAUCCACAGUGUAGGCUAGGUCAUCAGCCUAGCAGUGGGUACCCUUCCUACAUCAUCUCAUCCCUGGGCCCGCCCUUCCGCCUGUCUGUCUGUCUGUCCGUCUCUUCCUCCCUCCUCUAAAUACAUUUAUAUGGUUCCAUUUUCUGGAUUGUUUGGACUUUUUUUUUUUUUUUUUUUUUUUUGAGAUGGGAUUUCACUUUUCUGGGCUCAAUUUUUGAAUAGUACUUUUUAUAAUAGAACACUGAAUGUGUGUUCAUGUGUGUGUGCUUGUGUGUUUGGUUCUUUUCUUAAAAGCCUUGUAUAAGAAGUCUAUUUUGAUGAAGAGUGUUCAGGGGCAAGAUAAAUAAUUUUUUAUAAAUAAGUGCAUGUUCUGCAUCUUUAAGGUAAAACAUGGCUCAAGAUAAAAAGAAGUCCCUGUCUUUCAGAAGGACAUUGACGUUGUUGUGGGGAAAAGAACCAAGCUGCUUCAGGUCUAAAAGACCUAGGAUUUGUUACUUAUACUGAAAACUUUGGUUCUAGUAUGUAAAUGUUAUAUCAUCAUUAGGAAAAUGAGAUUGGCCAUGUUACAUAUGUAUGCAUGUGCAUACAUCAGGAUUUGUUGAGAAGUAGAAUUGAUUGCUGGGUUGAAUAUAGCUGCUUCCCAAACAAUUGAGAGUUUUUUUGAGGGGAUUAAAUACUUGUAAUCAAACAAUUAUUUUGGGCACCAGAGAUAUAGGUCUUGAUUGUAAGAGUGCUGUACCUGACAUAUACAAGGCUCUAGGUUUAAAAACCAGAACCAGUUUUGCUGUUGCUACUUAAAGCGUACUCUGUGGUGUAUGUGUGGAUGUCAAUAUGAUUUUUUCUUUACCCUGUGGAUUUUGUUGUUGGUUUUAGGACCACAGGUAAUUCAAACUAGGACAGCAUAUUUCAGGAUUUGAAUUAAAGUAGAUCUGGAUUAUUUAAUGACAUUCCUCCAAAGGUAUAUGCCUAGGGAACUAAGUGCAAGUAAGAUACAUAGCAGGAUUAAGCAUAGAAAGUUAAUCUAAAUACUUUAGGAGACUUGAAUAAUUGGGGUUUUGUUUGUUUGUUUUUGUUUUUCAAGAUAGACAAGUAACCCUGGCUGUCUUGGAAUCCCUGUGUAGAUUAGCCCUGAACCCAGAGAUUCUCCUGCUCCUGUCUCUCAAGUGCUGAGAUGAAAGGCAAGGACCAUCAUAAAAAGAACCUAAGCAAGCAGAACUGAGGGCUUGUUUUAGCUGGCUUGUAAUGCUUGUGAGUGUAUACGCAAGGUCCUCAAUUGUAUUUUCAGUAUCAUGAAACAAGUCAAAAAACAGGAAAAUGUUAGUGUAUGUUGAUGAAGGCUUUUAAGGAUAAUGAUCUUAAAAGUCUUUCAAGUUAAGUGGAAGGUUGUGACUAAGAGUGUUUGAGAAAAGAUGUUUCAUAGAGGAAGCACUUGGGAAAGGAUGCCUAGCAAAAGAUGAGAUCAGCAAAGUUAAGAGGCCUGUGUUGUGGAGCUGCUAGAGUCAGCUGCACGCUGGAGUCCUGUGGAGCACUUGCCUUCUAGAGUUUUAGAUGGCUUGGAGAUAAGUUGAAGGUGAUUUUUUUUUUUUUUUUUGGUUUUUCGAGACAGGGUUUCUCUGUGUAGCCCUGGCUGUCCUGGAACUUGCUUUGUAGACCAGGCUGGCCUCGAACUCAGAAAUCCGCCUGCCUCUGCCUCCCAAAUGCUGGGAUUAAAGGCAUGCGCCCCGCCACCGCGCUCGGCUGAUUUUUAUUUUUUGUUGUUGACUUUUGUUUUGAGAUAUGGUUUCACUGUUUAAUAUCCUUGGCUGGCCUAUAGACCAGGCUAGCCUCAGAUUCACAGAACCCACCGCUUCUGCUCGUAAGUGCUGGGAUGAAAAGCGGUGGCCAUCAUACCCAUCCUAACAUACUUGUAUGUGGCUUAUUUUCUCAGCUUUAUAAGUUGUAAGCAUUUUCUUUAAUCCUUCAUUAACCUUGUUUUGUCUGGUAUUUUGUUUUUGUUUUGAGGCAGGAUCUCAUAUGGCUAGGACUGGCAUGUUGCCC
rnacentral:lncRNA from 1 species